rnacentral:rRNA from 1 species
AACGAACGCUGGCGGCAGGCCUAACACAUGCAAGUCGAACGCCGUAGCAAUACGGAGUGGCAGACGGGUGAGUAACACGUGGGAACAUACCCUUCGGUUCGGAAUAACUCAGGGAAACUUGAGCUAAUACCGGAUACGUCCGCGAGGAGAAAGAUUCAUCGCCGGAGGAUUGGCCCGCGUCUGAUUAGCUUGUUGGUGAGGUAAUGGCUCACCAAGGCGACGAUCAGUAGCUGGUCUGAGAGGAUGAUCAGCCACAUUGGGACUGAGACACGGCCCAAACUCCUACGGGAGGCAGCAGUGGGGAAUAUUGGACAAUGGGCGCAAGCCUGAUCCAGCCAUGCCGCGUGAGUGAUGAAGGCCCUAGGGUUGUAAAGCUCUUUUACCCGGGAAGAUAAUGACUGUACC